rnacentral:rRNA from 1 species
CAGCCGCCGCGGGAAUACGUAGGUGGCAAGCGUUGUCCGGAAUUAUUGGGCGUAAAGGGCUCGCAGGCGGUUUCUUAAGCCUGAUGUGAAAGCCCCCGGCUCAACCGGGGAGGGUCAUUGGAAACUGGGAGACUUGAGUGCAGAAGAGGAGAGUGGAAUUCCACGUGUAGCGGUGAAAUGCGUAGAGAUGUGGAGGAACACCAGUGGCGAAGGCGACUCUCUGGUCUGUAACUGACGCUGAGGAGCGAAAGCGUGGGGAGCGAACAGGAUUAGAUACCCCUGUAGUCCCUGUCUCUUAUAC